GGAAUCCACGUUCGAGAGGUGGGAGGAUAACGGGCGUAGACUGCGGAAAACUGGGAUUCAGAGGAAGCCUAUAAAAAGGUAGCCAACGAAGGUAAAAAGGUUAGCAAUUUUGAGAUUAGAAGAGAGAUAAAAGAAAUUCUAAAGAAGAGAAAACUACCCAAAAGCCAUAAGAUCUAUGGCAAGCGUUCCCCGAACCUUCAUAUCUGACUUGAGCGUCGGAGGGUUUGCGCCGGGAAAACAACCAGUGUACUCUGACCUGUCUGUGUGCGCAGGAACCUCUGGAGAAGAAGCUUUACGAGGAGAGAUCCUGGUCGUGGUGAAGUUGAUCGAGCAGAGACCCUGGUCGUAGAACGAGGACAACCAGAAUCUCGCAUCAACAUUUUGGCGUAGUCUGUGGGGAGCUGAUCAAAAAGCUUCUGUUGAUAGCAAGAAGAGGAGUGAAGCAAGUGAAAAGCAAUGGAGACAGGAGGAAGCAGUGCACAAGGGGGUGAUAUGAGGCUUAACGAUUCCGUGACUUUGAGGGAGAUAGCCAGUGAAGCACGGGAAAAAGCCAUGUUCGACCGGAUGGAACGGAUGGAAAAGCAGAUGGAGACCCUGACAACCAUCCUGCAUGAGUUGCGGAGUGAACGAAGGGUAACCCAGGAGGAAAGGAUGAGAGUUGGUGGAGUGGCACCAGGUCCCAAUAGUACGAGGAGAAGUCAAACCACCGGGAGACUUGGUGGUGAGAGAGUUAACAUACCUCUGCGGGGAGAAUUCCGUAGAGAGGAAGAGCAAUCCCCGGCAAGACAGAUUUUUGACGAGGACGACGGGGUGGCAAAUGCAGAGGAAACAAAGUUGAGGCAACACUUGCUUGAUGUAGAGCAAGAGCGGGAUCAAGUUGCAGCACGGGACCCUGGUCGUGCAGUGCAGCUGGAGGAGGAAGUGCGCAGACUAGCGCAGAUAAUUGACGGCAUGCAAGGAAGGAGCAGAGCUCCUGGUUGGAGGAUAAUGCUGGACGGAGAAUCACCGCUCGCAGCAGAGAUCAUGAGGGCAGUUAUUCCGAGAGAUUUCCGCCUCCCAGACCUUAGAUAUUCGAGACGAACGGAUCCGCUGGUACACAUAGAGCGCUUCAACGACAUAACUGGGGUACAAGGAUUAUCUCAAUCCCAAAGGUGCAGGGUGUUCCCACUAUCCCUUGAGGGACGUGCACGAGAGUGGUACAGGAAACUUCCUCGGGGGAGCAUUAAAACCUUCGAGCAGAUGUGCCAGGAGUUUGCAGAGCAGUUUCGUGGGGCAAUGACACCAGAAGACGACAUGAUGGAGUUGAAAAGCAUGAAGCAAGGGAAGCAAGAAACCCUUCGGGAAUUCAUCAAGAGGUUUCAUCGUGCUGUCCUCGAUUUGAGAGCCUUCGACCAUCCUCAGGCACUAAAGGGAUUGAAAGAGGGAGUGAAGAUAGGAAGGCUGUGGUACAACUUGAGAAGCCCAGCUAUUCAGACGUAUGCAGCCGUAUACGAGCAGGCUAAAAGAGACAUAGAGAUUGAGGAAGAAAAUACAGCUCGGAUUAAGACAGACCAGCUGGAGGGGCUGGAAAAGAAAGAGAAAAGGGCAUUACCGGGAAAUGGGCCGAUCAGGAGGAGGGACCACCAGGCCUCGGGUAGUGGAGCAGGAGGUCGGGUAUCUGCUUACCAGCCUCAUCAGAGGCCACCACAGUAUCAGCGCAGCAGGGCGCAACCUCCUCGUUCCCCAGCUAGGGAGCCUUGGAGAAGGCAUGAUUCGGCAUAUGGUGACCUUCAUCAAAAUUCUCACAGUAGCAGAGGGAGCAGACCAGAAGUACUGCCACCGCCCCCAACUCAGAACGGAGCAAACAGAGAAAGAGCAGUGCACCUGAUCGACCAGAACCAGGACUAUGGGCAGUAUACUUCCUUGAAGAUGUCCCUGGAUGAGGUGUACGAGGCCAUAAAGGAUCGAGGGUUGCUGUACCUCCCUGUCCCAAUAACAAAGCUACCCGGCAGGAGGGAUAGGGGGCGCUAUUGUAAGUUUCAUGGCACUCAUGGCGAUACCACCGCAGAAUGCAGAAAUCUCAAGACCCAGGUUGAAGAUUUGGUGAGAAAUCGGUACCUGGACGAGUUUGUAGAUGGGACUUUCCCGAUGGUGGCCUCGACAUGUGAAGGGGAGCAGAGUGAUAGAAACCUGAGGCGCGAGCAUCCUGCAGUAAGGAUGAUAGCUGGGGGCCCAACAUUGGCCUGAGAUUCCAACAGAUCGAGGAAGAAUUAUGCUAGAUACGCCAUGACCAGCAAAUAGGUGUUCUUCAACACCCCAGCAGCCAAACGAGCAAGGGUCAGGCAAGUGCCAAUCAUGUGGACGGAUGAAGAUGAGGAAGGAAUUCUAUACCCCCACGAGGAUGCUUUAGUCAUCAAGGCUACUGUCGCUAGCAAGAAGUUUGACCGGAUACUGGUUGAUACAGGGAGUUCAGUUGAUGUGUUAUUUAAGUCAACCUUGGAGGAGAUGAGAAUAGCAGACCUGAAGUUGGAAUACACCAAUACCUCCUUGAAGGGGUUUGGAGGAGGAAAGCUGGUCCCUCUGGGCGUGGUCGAGCUGCCUAUCACGAUUGGGAGCUCCCCGACAGAAAGGACAAUGAUACUGGACUUUGUGGUGGUGGAUGAAGAAGGUCCUUACCAUAUGAUCCUAGGUCGGCCAUUUCUGAGGAUGAGCAAAGCGGUGCUGUCCAACCAUUAUCUGGCUCUCAAGUACCGGGUGAAUGGGGUAGUCGGAAUGGUACGAGGAGACCAGAGGAUUGCGAGAAGCUGCUACUCCUCGGCAGCAAGGGAAGCAAUGUAGAUAACAUCGCUUGAUACCCGAGUGGAAAACAAGAAUGGCAGACAAGAGCCUGUAGAGGAUCUGGAGACAGUAAGCCUGGGACCGAAUUGGGAAGGGCCAUAUAGAGUCAAGCAGAUAGUGGAACCCGGAGCUUACAAGCUGGUUCGCACGGACGGCCACGAGGUGAAACGCCCGUGGAACGCAGCACACCUCCGAAAACACUUCCAGUAAGACUUGUUCACAUUUUAAAGCAAUUUCUGCUCGUGCUCUUUAUCUUUUAUUUUUUAUGUUUUAUGUCAAAUCAAGUUCAUGUAAAAUCAAAUCCUGCAAUUAAUGGAACGUCGAGGAAUGUCAUUCACUUGAAACUGUGAUAAAUUCUCUAAGGCAUGCAAAGGCUCGACAAAGUCUCAAAGUCUGUUUAUGGCGAGACCAGAAGCCAAGCGUGCCAGGAUCUGCUCGGCCACGAGAAGGCUAGCAGAAUCCCAAGCUUUGAAGAAAUUACCUAAGGCAUGCAAAGGCUCGACAAAGUCUCAAAGCCUGUUUAUGGCGAGACUAGAAGCCAAGCGUGCCAGGAUCUGCUCGGCCACGAGAAGGCUAGCAGAAUCCCAAGCUUUGAAGAAAUUAUCCAAGGCAUGCAAAGGCUCGACCAAGUCUCAAAGCCUGUUUUAUGGCGAGACAGAAGCCAAGUGUGCCAAGAUCUGCUCGGCCACGAGAAGGCUAGCAGAAUCCCAAUCCUUGAAGAAUCAAAGGCAUGCAAAGGCUCAUCAAGUCUCAAAGCCUGUUUUAUGGCGAGAAAGAAGCCAAGCGUGCCAGGAUCUGCUCGACCAAGAGAAGGCGAGCAGAAUCCCAAUCCUUGAAGAAUCAAAGGCAUGCAAAGGCUCAUCAAGUCUCAAAGCCUGUUUUAUGGCGAGACAGAAGCCAAGCGUGCCAGGAUCUGCUCAACCACGAGAAGGCGAGCAGAAUCCCAAUCCUUGAAGAAUCAAAGGCAUGCAAAGGCUCAUCAAGUCUCAAAGCCUGUUUUAUGGCGAGGCAGAAGCCAAGCGUGCCAGGAUCUGCUCGACCACGAGAAGGCGAGCAGAAUCCCAAUCAUUGCAGAGAUUACCUAAGGCAUGCAAAGGCUCACCAAGUCUCAAAGCCUGUUUACGGCGAGACCAGAAGCCAAGCGUCCCAGGAUCUGCUCGACCAUGCGAAGGCGAGCUGACUCCCAAGCGUUGUAAAAAUUCUUAAGGCAUGCAAAGGCUCACCAAAGUUUCAAAGCCUGUUUAUGGCGAGACCAGAAGCCAAGCGUCCCAGGAUCUGCUCGACCAUGCGAAGGCGAGCUGACUCCCAAGCGUUGUAAAAAUUCUUAAGGCAUGCAAAGGCUCACCAAAGUCUCAAAGCCUGUUUAUGGCGAGAUCAGAAGCCAAGCGUGCCAGGAUCUGCUCGACCAUGCGAAGGCGAGCAGACUCCCAAGCGUUGUAAAAAUUCUUAAGGCAUGCAAAGGCUCACCAAAGUCUCAAAGCCUAUUUAUGGCGAGACCAGAAGCCAAGCGUGCCAGGAUCUGCUCGACCAUGCGAAGGCGAGCAGACUCCCAAGCGUUGUAAAAAUUCCUAAAGCAUGCAAAGGCUCACUAAGUCUCAAAGCCUGUUUAUGGCGAGACCAGAAGCCAAGCGUGCUAGGAUCUGCUGGACCAAGCAAAAGCGAGCAGAUUACUAAAGUUUCAAAAAGUUUCUAAGGCGUGCAGAGGCUCCAAAGUCUCAAAGCCUGUUUUAUGGCAAGACAGAAAGCUAAGCAUGCCAGGAUCUGCUCAACCAAGCGAAGACGAGCAGACCACUAAAGUUUCCAGUUUUGAUUCGUUUCACUCUCAACACUAGAAACUGGGGGACCGGUGUUUGAGGGAAAUACUCCGACGAGACCAGACGUGAUGAGCAGAUGUUUGGUGGCAGAAGUCUGCGAGCAGGUAUGUCCUGUAAGAACCAGGUAGCAGGGGAACAAGGGCAGGAACAUCCUGCUCAUCCACGAGCACGUCAUCUGCGAGGCCAAUUUCCUGUAAGAGGCAUAAAGUCAUUCCUGCUGUAUUCUCGCUGAGGGUUGAUUCAAGGAGACCCGGUCAACGACAGUUGGCGAGGCAUGCUCUCCAGCCCGAGAAUCUAGGCACGAAGGCCACGCAACCACCCACGACUACGGAAAUGGGGAAUCCACGUUCGAGUGGUGGGAGGAUAACGGGCGUAGACUGCGGAAAACUGGGAUUCAGAUGAAGCCUAUAAAAAGGUAGCCAACGAAGGUAAAAAGGUUAGCAAUUUUGAGAUCAGAAGAGAGAUAAAAGAAAUUCUAAAGAAGAGAAAACUACCCAAAAGCCAUAAGAUCUGUGGCAAGCGUUCCCCGAACCUUCAUAUCUGACUUGAGCGUCGGAGGGUUUGCGCCGGGAAAACAACCGGCGUACUCUAACCUGUCUGUGUGCGCAGGAACCUCUGGAGAAG
rnacentral:lncRNA from 1 species